rnacentral:rRNA from 1 species
AUGAACGCUGGCGGCGUGCUUAACACAUGCAAGUCGAACGAAGCAAUUUAGCGGAAGUUUUCGGAUGGAAGCUAGAUUGACUGAGUGGCGGACGGGUGAGUAACGCGUGGGUAACCUGCCUCACACUGGGGGACAACAGUUAGAAAUGACUGCUAAUACCGCAUAAGCGCACAGGACCGCAUGGUCCGGUGUGAAAAACUCCGGUGGUGUGAGAUGGACCCGCGUUUGAUUAGCUAGUUGGUGGGGUAACGGCCUACCAAGGCGACGAUCAAUAGCCGACCUGAGAGGGUGACCGGCCACAUUGGGACUGAGACACGGCCCAAACUCCUACGGGAGGCAGCAGUGGGGAAUAUUGCACAAUGGGGGAAACCCUGAUGCAGCGACGCCGCGUGAGUGAAGAAGUAUUUCGGUAUGUAAAGCUCUAUCAGCAGGGAAGAAAAUGACGGUACCUGACUAAGAAGCCCCGGCUAACUACGUGCCAGCAGCCGCGGUAAUACGUAGGGGGCAAGCGUUAUCCGGAUUUACUGGGUGUAAAGGGAGCGUAGACGGUAAAGCAAGUCUGAAGUGAAAGCCCGGGGCUCAACCCCGGGACUGCUUUGGAAACUGUUUAACUAGAGUGCUGGAGAGGUAAGCGGAAUUCCUAGUGUAGCGGUGAAAUGCGUAGAUAUUAGGAGGAACACCAGUGGCGAAGGCGGCUUACUGGACAGUAACUGACGUUGAGGCUCGAAAGCGUGGGGAGCAAACAGGAUUAGAUACCCUGGUAGUCCACGCAGUAAACGAUGGACACUAUCUGUUCGGGUCGAAUGGGAUCUGAGUGGCACAGCGAAAGCGUUAAGUGUCCCACCUGGGGAGUACGCCGGCAACGGUGAAACUCAAAGGAAUUGACGGGGGCCCGCACAAGCGGUGGAGCAUGUGGUUUAAUUCGAAGCAACGCGAAGAACCUUACCAAAUCUUGACAUCCCUCUGACCGGCGAGUAAUGUCGCCUUUCCUUCGGGACAGAGGAGACAGGUGGUGCAUGGUUGUCGUCAGCUCGUGUCGUGAGAUGUUGGGUUAAGUCCCGCAACGAGCGCAACCCUUAUCCUAAGUAGCCAGCAGUUCGGCUGGGCACUCUUGGGAGACUGCCAGGGAUAACCUGGAGGAAGGUGGGGAUGACGUCAAAUCAUCAUGCCCCUUAUGAUUUGGGCUACACACGUGCUACAAUGGCGUAAACAAAGAGAAGCGAGACCGCGAGGUGGAGCAAAUCUCAAAAAUAACGUCUCAGUUCGGACUGCAGGCUGCAACUCGCCUGCACGAAGCUGGAAUCGCUAGUAAUCGCGAAUCAGAAUGUCGCGGUGAAUACGUUCCCGGGUCUUGUACACACCGCCCGUCACACCAUGGGAGUCAGUAAUGCCCGAAGUCAGUGACCCAACCGUAAGGAGGGAGCUGCCGAAGGCAGGACCGAUAACUGGGGUG